CGACCCCUCAAGCCCUGCUUGGUGCUGGGGCCCUACGUGCGCCGUAGGCCCCGAAUUCCAGUGGCGGGCUCGCCGUGGACCCGAGCGCAGUAGCUUCUGCCUCGCUCAGGGCCCGCAGGCGGGCGCCUGCCGUGAAAGAACCCACUGAGACACACAA
rnacentral:misc_RNA from 1 species